UACGUAUGGAGCAAGCGUUAUCCGGAUUUACUGGGUGUAAAGGGAGUGUAGGCGGUUUUAUAAGUCUGAUGUGAAAGCCCGCGGCUCAACCGCGGUACUGCAUUGGAAACUGUAGAACUAGAGUGUCGGAGAGGUAAGUGGAAUUCCUAGUGUAGCGGUGAAAUGCGUAGAUAUUAGGAGGAACACCAGUGGCGAAGGCGGCUUACUGGACGAUUACUGACGCUGAGGCUCGAAAGCGUGGGGAG
rnacentral:rRNA from 1 species